GAGAUCAAAGAAUCACCCUCGGUUGUUGGUUAAAUUAUUAUCUUGUCAAUCAGGAUUUUGGCGAAAUCUAAUGCUGUUAAACACCCGAUAAAUCAAUCAAUUCAAUAGUGAUAAUGGAGAGGAUGAUGAGUAAAAAGAAAGGGUUAACUACCGCA
rnacentral:sRNA from 20 species